CCCUUAGAUGUUCUGGGCUGCACGCGUGCUACAAUGGCGCUUGCAACAAGUCUUGCCAACCCGAUAGGGUGAGCGGAUCUUUGAAGAGGCGUCGUGAUCGGGACAGUUGAUUGCAAUUAUUCGACUCGAACGAGGAAUUCCUUGUAAUCGCGAUUCAUCAUAUCGCGCUGAAUACGUCCCUGCCCUUUGUACACACCGCCCGUCGCACCUACCGAUUGGAUGGUCCGGUGAAGCCUCGGGAUUGUGGUUCUUGCCGCUUUAUUGUGGCGUGACCGCGAGAACUUGUCUAAACCUUAUCAUCUAGAGGAAGGUGAAGUCGUAACA
rnacentral:rRNA from 1 species